CCACGUUGUUGUUUGCAUUGAUAUUUCAUUCCUUUUCUUGCUGGGUAGUAUUCUGUGGUAUUGACAGCCACAGUGUGUUUAUUCACCCAUUGGAGGACAUCUGGGUAGUUUUCAGUUCUUGGCAAUUAUAAGUAGAGCUGCUAUUAAGCACUCCUGUACCAGUCUCUGUGGGAAUGUAAAUUUUCAUUUCUCUAGGGGUGGAAUUUCUGGAUCAUAUGUGACAUUUAUUACCGCACACAGAAGAGAAUGAGCCAAGAGGUGCUGCAGGAGUUCAGAGGCAAGAGAGAGGAAUGUGGCCUGAUAUGCACAGAAGACUUCAUGAAGGAGCUGGCUGAAAUGCAAUGAUUCCCAGGGAAACUUGGAACCCAUGUGUUGAAGGUGGUAGCACUUCCAUCAGCCUGGGUCCUGAAUGCCUGCAGGAGAAUAUCCUUUUGAUCCAUGUACCUGCCGAGGACUGAUAGAAGAGAGCUGUCAUGUUUGAAAACAGAAGUGAAGAUAUCCCUGGAGAGUUAGUGAAGGUCAUUGAUGGAAGCUCCAGGAGAGAGUGGGGAUAAUGGAAGGAAUAAAGUUAUCCACAUCUCAUCUUAAAGCUAGCAUCUUUAAUACAGUAUAACCAAGAUGAUUCCUGAAGGAAUACUCCACCUGAACUCAAGAGUAGUUGCUUACCAAGAAGAAGCAGUUCAAUUGUUCCUAAAACAUAUAAUUUGUCUAUCUGUAUAGUUCGACUUUUAGAUAAGGAUUAUAAUUUUCAAAUAUUAACUAUUUUCCAUUUAUGUAUCUAGAAGGAACAGCUGAACUAAUAUAAAAGCAUAUGUUUUGUGGACAUUGUCACAUAAUAGUUUGCCUAUCCACUACAGCUCAAAUUUCCAGGAAAAGAUUGUUUCAGUUUUCAACCAUUAACUUUAUCUUCCAUGCCUAUGUAUCUUAGCAUCUCCAAAUCUUAAGCAAAGAGAGAAAAUUAAAAAGGAUGUAAGUUGUUCUCAAGGACAUAAUCCUUAGGGUGAUGGAAAUGUUCUGUGUCUUGAUUGUAGUGGGGGUUAUACAACUAUAUGUGUAUGUCAAAAUUCAUAGAGCUGUACAACUAAAAAGGGUGAAAUUUACUGCCUGCAAAGGAUGCCUCAAUAAACCUGACGUAAAUCAAAGCCAAAAAAACCCAAAAUUCUUGAACACCUCCUCUGACAUUGUGGUAGGGUACGUAAGCACAUAAAAAAACAGAUUUCAGUCUUAAAGACUGAAAUAUGAAAGUAAAGUUCCAGUGUUAUCAUCUAAAUUACCAUAGAAAAAUUUUCCUAGGACACUUCGUUUCUGUUGUGCCUUAUCAGUGACAGCUCUUUGAACCCUUCGACCUGACCAGUUAGGAAAAGUACAAAGGAAGGGCCCUAUCUUUUAGCCAUCUUGUUGACUGGAUGCAGAAGGAAUACUUCCUUUAACCACUGGGGCAACAGUUAAGUUUGCUCAGAUACAAUCUCAUGCAGCAUGAUGUUUUUAAGAUAGUCUCUGUGAUUUUCCAGACUCUAGGUUGUGCUCGACAGAAACUCAGCUCCUGCCCAGACCCUUGCCUAGCUUGCAUCCUUGCUUCAUUCAGGUCUCUGCUCAAAUGUCCCUUGGCAGAAAGGCCUCCUUAUCAGCCCUAUUGCAAAUGACCAUAUUUGUGAAUUGGCUGCCUCUCUCACUAGACUGGAAGUUCCAUGAAGGCUUCAUCUUUUCUCUUAAGUUCCAUAGCCCCAGCACUAGAGCAGUGUUUGGCAUACAGUAGGUGUUCGCGAACCAUUUAAAGUGAAGAGGAGAAUCGAUUGGCCUCUGAAUCUAAACCACAGUAAAAGGGAGGAAUAAUUAGAACUAGGGACUUGAAUGCACGCAGAGUUCACUUUGGUCAUUCACCUGCCAUUCUCUCUGGUGUCUCCUUCCUACUCUCAAUGAUCCACAUAGUGGCUGCCUUGGAACCUCCAGGCUUAUCAUAUCACAACUCCACAAUCAGAGGGGAAACAGUCUUUCUCGCUCAGCUCCAGGUUGCAUAACCCCGGGAAAUGUUCUGAUUGGCCUGUCUCCCAGUGACAUACAGAGGAGGCCAGGACUGAGCCACAGUGUAUCUGCUCUUUUCCUCAUUUCUCACUCUCCAAUCCUGCCUGCUCCAUCUAUUUUGGUGAUGUUGCCCCAGUUUUAAUAAUGAUGCUUUACAGCCCAUUGCAGAUGCUGUUAGAACUCUGCCAUUAUCCCCCUGGAUCCCUUUAGUAUUUUUGCUCACACCUGCUUCCUGCAUGACAUGCAUUCGCUCUCAACAGCAACACCUGCCGAUCCUUGCUGGCGGGCUGCCCUAGGCUACUAGCACCUGCUUUGCCUGUGCAAUAAGAGAGUUCGAAGUGCCUCUAGGGGUAGCCCUUGACUGAUGACUGACAGCCUAGGAGUAUAAACGCUGCAGUCCCUUUACUCAUGAUGGAAACAACUCUGAGAUGUGACCUCCACAUGUCCCCAGAACUCCCUCAGCAUGGAGCCUAAGUUACCCUCCAUGGGGAUUUGCUGGAUGCUGCACCCUUGCUUGGCCUCCUUCCCAUCCCAGUCCCACUUCCCAUUCUCUACUUGGGAAUAUCUACUAAAUAAAUAACUUUCACAUGAAUUUGCAGUCUUCAUCCGGAGAACCCCACCUACAACAAGCUCCAUCUUUGCCCCUAGCUCUCCACCUAUUUGUCAUAAGAUUUUUUUUGAGGGCAGGUACCUUGGCAUAGUUUCCUGCCUCCCCUCCACACAUAUGCACUACAGAAAUGUUUACUUAUUUGCUUUUAAUAUGUUCCUAUCCUUAGAGUUCCUUCCUAUUUUCCAGGUUUCCCUGUUUCAACUAUCAUUGCUUCUCAGAUAUGCUAAUUUUCUUGCUUUGCUUAUUACUGAUGGCUUGUCUAUCUGCCCUCUCUAAUUCAACAUGUUAAACAUUCCUAAGUCAUAAGUCAAAUACCAUAUGUUCUCACCUAUAGGUGGGAGCUAAGCUCUGGGUAUGCAUAGACAUACAGAGUAGUAUAAUGGACAUUGGAGACUCAGAAGGGAAGGGUGGGAGGGGGACGAGGGAUAAAAACUAUAUAUUGGGUACAAUGUACACUAUUCUGGUGACAGGUACAAUCAAAUCUCAGACUUCACCGCUAUACAAUGCAUCUAUGUAACCAAAACCCCCUUGCACCUCAAAAGCUAUUGAAAUUAAAACAAAAAAACUAUUACUAACAUGGAGACAAACUAAUUUCUUUGAAAAAUGUAAACCAUUUAAAAGGCAAAUAUUACCAAAUCUAUUCACCAUCUUCCUUAUCUGGCCUUGAAGGACUAUUUAUGCACUAUUUAACCCAGUUGACCUGACCAGUGGACCUGGUUUUCCACAGAAGUGGCUAGAUUCUUUGAAGUUAAUGUUGGACUUGAUUUUUUAAAAGCAGGCCCUGAAAAAUUUUAAAGGACUAUAUGUCCAGAAUAUUAUAAAAUCAACAAAAAGAAACAUUCCUUGUAUUUUCCUCUUAUUUUCUAUACCUUUCUUCUAUGUUUUGCAUUAGGUGCUUGCUCAAGAUCUCAGUCAUGCUUUGACUCAGUUUAACAGUCAAAUCAUUACUAAUCGUACUACCUUUUCAUAGUUCACACUUCUAAAAUAUUAACUUGUAAAAGAAGGAAUGCGAUAAAGCCAUCAGAACACCAAGUGGUGUCUUUAUUUCUUAAUCAUUUUCUAAAACAUUACUUAAUUCAGUUGAAUUCAGAGAAACUUUUAGUAAUUCUUAUCAGAUGAAUUUAUAUACAUACCAUUGUGGAAAAUAAAAUAACUUGUGAGCAUCUUUGAUACAGCCUCAAUCAACAUUGAUGUUGAAACCAGAGGCUGUAAGUUUCAAAUAGCAGUUUAUGAGAAAACAUGGAGAGAAAUUUUAAGAUGUUGGCGUGAACACUUCUGACAAUGUAAAACACUCGGCUAACCAUUGCCCUUUGCUUCGACAGAUAAGAAGUUUAGCAAAUAUUUACAUACCAGUUUUCACAACAUUUAAGCUAAAUUUUUACUUCUAUGUAUUGUCAUUAUAAGGUUUAACUUCUAAGACUGUUUACUAAAAAGGGCAAAGAGCAUUUUUAUAAUAUUGCAAGGUCUGUCUUAAUAACUCCAAAGACUGCUGACUUGUAACCCUGAGACUGAAUGUUUAUUACAGGAAGCUGCAUGUUAGAAUGUUUGAGGUAGAAAAUUGUGCUUGUUUGCUUCAACUUGUAAACUACGUUUUUCAUAAAAGGUUGAUUUGACUCACCAACUCUUUGAUAAUUGUCCUACCAUUUUUGACCUCACUGAUCCAGCUCUAAUUAACUCAACAAAUAAAAGAGAAUGUGCAGAUUAGUUUGGAAUUAAGGACAUAGCUGAAGGCAUUCCUUGGGAAAAGUGAUUUUGCCAACAAAAUAAAUACUCUAACAAAAGAAUGUUAAAACACCAAUACAGAUCACAUCACUCUUCAUAAAACCCCCAAACUGGAAGCUAUCCAAAUACUGCCUGACAAUAGUAGGUUGGAUAAAUAUACUGUGGUAUAUUUAUAGAAUGGAAUAUUAUAAAGAAAUGAGAAUGCUCUGCAAUCAGGCACAAUGACAUAGAUGGCUCUCAUAAACAAAAUGUUGAGCGAAAGAAGCCAGACACAAAUGAGAACAUACCAUAUGCUUUCAUUCAUUAAAAGUUCAAAAACAGACAAAAGUAAUUUAUGGUAUUGUGUUGGGAUAAUGCUUAUCUUGGGGUAGUAAGGCCUGAAAGGAGGCAUAAUGGGGGAUUCUGGAGAGCUGAUAUGGUUCUAUUUCUUGAGUUACAUAUUUAUUUGAGUAUUUUUCUAUAUGUUAUCCUUCAAUAAAUGCUAUUAAAACCCCCAUGCUAUACAGAACCUUUAUUUUCAAUGGCGUUAUCUACUUUCCAAAAGAAUUUGAGUAGUCUUUCAGAUCGAGGAAGGGUGCUAGAUGCUGCUGUGAACGUUGAUAAAAGCAGGCUCGGUCCUUAAAGACCUUGUGGUAUGAUGGGAG
rnacentral:lncRNA from 1 species